rnacentral:misc_RNA from 1 species
GUCGUAACAAGGUAACCGUAGGUGAACCUGCGGUUGGAUCAUUAAAAAAAGACGAGCUUUAGAGCUCCCUUUCAACGCUAGUGUCUGCCUAAAAAACAGUCCUAGUCAACCCCUUGUGAACUGUUUUUAUUGUCUCUGAUGGGACCACUCCUUUGGAGUACUCGUCAGGGCAUUUAUUCAACCCCGUUUAUAAACAAUGUCUUAUUCAAAUAAUUUAAUUUGAAACAACUUUUGACAACGGAUCUCUUGGCUCUC